GACGUAGGGAGCGAGCGUUGUCCGGAAUUACUGGGCGUAAAGAGCUCGUAGGCGGGACCGUAAGUCCGAGAGGAAAUCUCAAGGCUCAACUUUGGGGCUUUCUUGGAUACUGCGGUUCUUGAGGAUGAGAGAGGUAAGCAGAAUUCCCGGUGUAGCGGUGAAAUGCGUAGAUAUCGGGAGGAAUACCAGUGGCGAAGGCGGCUUACUGGCUCAUUCCUGACGCUGAGGAGCGAAAGCGUGGGGAGCAACGGG
rnacentral:rRNA from 1 species